rnacentral:rRNA from 1 species
UGGGGCCUCUUGGACAAUUUUCUCAAGCCUGCUCCCUCAAUGCCGCGUGUGUGAAGAAGGUCAUCGGAUUGUAAAUCUUUGUAAGUUGGGAGGAAGGGCAUUAACCUAAUACGUUAGUGUUUUGACGUUACCGACAGAAUAAGCACCGGCUAACUCUGUGCCAGCAGCCGCGGUAAUACAGAGGGUGCAAGCGUUAAUCGGAAUUACUGGGCGUAAAGCGCGCGGAGGUGGUUUGUUAAGUUGGAUGUGAAAUCCCCGGGCUCAACCUGGGAACUGCAUUCAAAACUGACUGACUAGAGUAUGGUAGAGGGUGGUGGAAUUUCCUGUGUAGCGGUGAAAUGCGUAGAUAUAGGAAGGAACACCAGUGGCGAAGGCGACCACCUGGACUAAUACUGACACUGAGGUGCGAAAGCGUGGGGAGCAAACA